GAGAGUAUAGCUCAAGUGGUAGAGUGCAUGCUUAGCAUGCAUAAGGUCUUGGGUUCAAUCCCUAGUACCUCCU
rnacentral:tRNA from 1 species